GUUUUUACGAAACUUCCAUUCCUCUGCCAGAGAAAAUGAGCAAGGGACCUGGACUUUUCUCUGAUAUUGGCAAGAAAGCCAGAGAUGUUUUGACUAAGGACUAUAUUUCCGAUCAGAAACUAUCUAUUUCAACCUACAGUGACACUGGAGUGGCCCUUACAUCAACUGCAGUGAAGAAGGGAGGGCUUUCAACUGGAGAUGUUGGAGCACAAUACAAAUAUAAGAAUACUUUAAUUGAUGUCAAAGUUGAUACAGCGUCAAAUAUUUCAACCACUCUUACUCUAAAUGACAUUGCCCCUUCAACGAAAACCAUUGCCUCACUGAAAUUCCCUGACUACAGUUCUGGGAAGCUAGAGGUUCAGUACUAUCACCAUCAUGCUGCAUUUAGUACAGCUGUUGGUCUGAAACAAAACCCUAUAGUUGAUCUCUCUGUCACGCUUGGUACUCCCACUUUCGCCAUCGGUGCAGAGGCAAGUUACGAGACAGCCGAAGGUAAACUUGCAAAAUAUACCGCUGGCAUUAGUGUGACAAAACCAGAUUCUUGUGCUGCUAUAAUACUGGGUGACAAAGGGGACACAAUAAAAGCAUCAUAUAUACAUCAUCUAGAUGAAUUGAAGAAGAGUGCAGCUGUGGGCGAGAUCACUCGACGGUUCUCCACAAAUGAGAACACCUUCACAGUUGGAGGGUCAUAUGCUGUUGAUAACCUGACAAUUGUGAAGCUCAAGCUCAAUAAUCACGGUAACCUGGGGGCUCUACUGCAGCAUGAGCUGAUUCCGAAGUCAUUGUUGACUAUUUCUAGUGAGUUUGACACCAAGGCCUUGGAAAAGACUCCCAAAUUUGGUGUGGCCCUUGCUCUGAAGCCGUGAACUGCAUUUUUGGAUGUGAACAACUAACAUUUUUUGGGGUUAGUGCCUGGAGGAGAGGUGUUCAAUAAGUAGUUCGAUAAACUUGUGGUUUUUUUCCCCCUCAAUUUAUAUGGUUUCUGAAUGAGUUGCUCUGAUUCUAGGGCCUCUUUAUGGUAUUUCUCUAGUUUUCCCCGUCUUCUACAUUUCCCCUCGGAGAAAGACCAAGUGUUUGAUGUGUUCCCUCUAGAAGAGCUUUUUCUUUUGAUAUGGUGCAAUAGGUAACUUCACCAGUUGCGUUAAUUUCAUUUUAAUUAUUUCUAUGUUGAUCUCUUUAAUUGCUACAUACUGUUUUUUGGUAAUUGUUUGCUGUGACUGGAUAAUUUUUCAUCCUUUAUGAAGUGAAUAAGUUCUAGCCCAAAUAGACCCAAAAUAAGUUGGAGCCUGCAUAGCCUUCUCUGGUAAGUACUUUCGACAAGUUUCAUCUGGUAGUUCUUUCGACUAUACUACGUUACCUGCGUCUUUUUAGACCAAUUCUCCACGCCUCAACAUUAUACUGAGCUUGCUUCUGCAUGAUUUUUUUUUUAGAAAAAUUACUGUGUUUUUCGUUAGUUAUUCGAGAUGAGUUUUUA
rnacentral:misc_RNA from 1 species